GCAGCCAGAGAAAGGACGUCUCUAGAAGGUAUGACACACAGUCUAAAAUGCAGCCAGAGAAAGGAAGGACGGAGGGAUGACUAAAAGAAGGAUAGAGUUUCAGUGUAUUAUUCACCAAUCGGCUCCUAUUAGCUUCACAUAAUAAUCAGAGCUGGAAACGAAUCUCAACAGAGGAGUUUGUGGGUGUGUGGGUGUGUGUGGGUGUGUGGGUGUGUGGGUGUGGCAGUUUUCCUGGUAGGAACUCUCAAGGUUUCAAGCAGAGCAGGAGGCUCCCUGGCUGACUCAGACACGGUAUUGCAGUAGCACAUACUGAUGUAUUGUUGGCUCUAUUUCCACACACGCACGCACACACACACACACAUCCUGCACUAAUGGAAAUGUYCUUGUUUGCCAAACGUUCCAUUAUAUGCUCAGAGUCCAAAUCAGAAAAAAAAWUCCUAUUCAACAAUGUAGCCAGGAAUUUGUCUCGGUGUACGAUACUGUCUYUGGGCCUGUGCUAACAGCAUUCAUUUACUUUCAAAUCAUUUMAAAUAUUACAUGACAUUUCAUAACACUUUUCACAACACAUUAAGUGUGUGCCCUCAGGCCACUAAUAUUAUAUUAUACUGCAUGUUAUCUAUGCAUUCUUUCUUUAGUCUGGAAGGACAUUUUGAUAAUCUUUUGUUUCAAGCUCUGGCUAAGUCUGUUUCAGACAUAGUUACACAAAAAGCACUACAUAAAAAGUGUAUGCACAAAUGUAUUAGAUAUUAAACAGUGACACAAAGCAAACACAACAGGAAGUCUUCCUACUGUAUUAACACAGUUAACUGUCCAACUGCCAAUGAAAUCAUAUGCUGCUGACAAUGCUAGCUAAUCGAGCAUUGUGUGAUUUCAUCAGGACUCUCACAGRGAGAGAAAUGUAACAAUGAAAGGUGUUUGUUCACUWGGAUUCUGGUCUCACUGCCUUUAGUAUUGCCUCACGCACACCAUACACUGUAAUUGUGGUGAUUUAAUUUAAAAUGCAUGAUGGGUAAAUAUUGGAAUAUUGCAGAUGUGUGAGCUGCCGCCCUGCCUGUGAGCUGAGAUUGAGAGGCAGGUAAUGAUGCCAGCCUGAACUUGAAGGGGAUUGGCCGAGCCCUUAUCCCUGAAAUUACGGUGGGCAUACAAGGGGAGAGCUCUGCUGGUCAUGAGCCCGCCCCCUCUCCAACCCCACCCUCGGACCCUGAGAUCCAAUCAGAGAGCACCAGUCUGUGAAAGCGGGAGGGAUCACUCCAACUGACAUCACCAAAAAAACAUUCUGCCUCUGCCCAAUUGGUCAAUAUGCUAGCCAUUCGUCCAAUYGCCGUAGUCAGAGUCAGCUCUGAGCCUCUACAGACUGGACCAUACAAACUCCCUGUGCUCCAUCAAUCCAGUGAGCAAUAAUGUCUGCAACAAACAAUCCCUAGCCAACAUUACUCUCUACAACAAUACAGGGACUAGAUAACCUUCUCUAGCUCCAAGAUCCAAACUCAACACUGUUGGCACCCACCCAACACCAACACCCUUCCAUAAACCAUCAACCCUGUACAGUAUUGGAACUGGACCACAGGAUCACCCCAUGUUCAUUGAACCUUCAACCUGCUAAACAUGAUAUAUAUAUAUAUAACCACUGAACUCCAAUGCUGGCGAAGCUGUAAUGUUAUGACCCAGUACCUGGAAGCAUCUGAUGCAAAUCUGAAUAUACUGUUUCAUCGUUGAUCUUUGGAUCCAUUGUAGAAUGCUGACAUUGAAUUGGGGCUGGGUGGGAGGCUAAGCUUGUAAACCUAAAAGCUCAGAACUAGUAUGUUUGUAUUAUGCAGCUUUCCUCCCUGUGGUACAUUGUAUGGUGGUUGUAGGAAUGUUUUUUUGAAUGGAAAUUGCUCAUUUGUAUACAUGUCCUCAAUGCAUUACCUAAGAUUGUCUACAAAACUGCAAUUUUGCCCCAUUUGAGAACUUUCUUUAAUGGUUUUUAAUAAUACAAAUAAUACAAAUGUAAUGCAGAAAGUGCUAUUGAUGAGCAAAUAUACAUGGUGAGCCCAAAGAAUCCUAUAAAGUGCCCUACUUGAUUUGAUGAGAGCUCAAGGACCAAAGAUGCCAGUUGAUUAAUAACUACAUUUGGUGAGUGUGCUGCUUUGUGUUUCUACUAUAAAUGUUUUAAUAAAUAGUUGCCAARGACCAAAUAAGUAUCAGUGAGGAGUGCAAUUGAAGUAACUGCAUUCGUUUCAUAGUGUGCCUUCUCCACUCCCAAUAUUCACCCKGUUUCAUUUGUUGUUUUUAACCUGUCUUACCUCAAUAUACUAUAGGACCGUGUUUUAUUCAACCCCAAUCAAACCAUGUGAUACAUUGUUAUUGACAGAGCUGAAUUCAAACAAAAUAGUCACCCCUGCCAAAAAUGUGUAUACAGAUUCACAGAUUUCCCCUUUAAAUUAAAAGUGAUGGAUUGGACAUUUCCUGCCACAGAUUUUUUAUUUGAGAAGUUAUUUGUUUUGAUAUCUGUUUUGAUUUAAUUUAGCUCAGGAAAUGGACAAGCAACAACCCAACAGAACAAUAUCCCAGGUUUUAUUUUAUGAUUACUAUUCAAAUUAAGGAUAUUAUGUUGACGAUCUUUAGUGGGUAACUUGGCUUGUCACUAUGCUUUCGAUUAUUKCCUUUUGUUUCACUACAUUGCACGUUUUGAAUGUGAUUUSCGUAGCUUUUUUUCUGCCCGUGUCUUUUCAACCUGAACAAAGAUUUUCGAUAAUGAGUGAAUGGAUCCUCCACUGUUCAUAUUAAAGGAAAAUAGUUUUGGGUAUUAUUACUCCAAAUAAAGAAAACAAAACAUGA